rnacentral:rRNA from 1 species
ACCCGCUGAACUUAAGCAUAUCAAUAAGCGGAGGAAAAGAAGCCAACAGGGAUUGCCCUAGUAACGGCGAGUGAAGCGGCAACAGCUCAAAUUUGAAAUCUGGCGUCUUUGGCGUCCGAGUUGUAAUUUGCAGAGGGCGCUUUGGCAUUGGCAGCGGUCCAAGUUCCUUGGAACAGGACGUCACAGAGGGUGAGAAUCCCGUACGUGGUCGCUAGCCUUUACCGUGUAAAGCCCCUUCGACGAGUCGAGUUGUUUGGGAAUGCAGCUCUAAAUGGGAGGUAAAUUUCUUCUAAAGCUAAAUACUGGCCAGAGACCGAUAGCGCACAAGUAGAGUGAUCGAAAGAUGAAAAGCACUUUGGAAAGAGAGUUAAAAAGCACGUGAAAUUGUUGAAAGGGAAGCGCUUGCAGCCAGACUUGCCUGUAGUUGCUCAUCCGGGUUUUUACCUGGUGCACUCUUCUAUAGGCAGGCCAGCAUCAGUUUGGGCGGUUGGAUAAAGGUCUCUGUCAUGUACCUCUCUUCGGGGAGAACUUAUAGGGGAGACGACAUGCAACCAGCCCGGACUGAGGUCCGCGCAUCUGCUAGGAUGCUGGCGUAAUGGCUGU